ACGAAUUGCAGAUCCUCGUGAAUCAUCAAAAUUUUGAACGCACAUUGCGCUUUUGGGUAACUCCCAAGAGCAUGCUUAUCUGAGUGUUCCUAA
rnacentral:rRNA from 1 species